rnacentral:rRNA from 1 species
UUGUAAUUUGAAGAAGCGUUUACCGCGUCCGGGUCGACCCAAAUCCUUUGGGAUAAGGUAUCAUGGAGGGUGAGAAUCCCGUCCGGUUGACCGCAGGAUGUUUUACGUUACGCUCUCUAA